rnacentral:rRNA from 1 species
GAUGAACGCUGGCGGCGUGCCUAAUACAUGCAAGUCGAGCGAACAGAUGAGGAGCUUGCUCCUCCGACGUUAGCGGCGGACGGGUGAGUAAUACGUGGUUAACCUACCUAUAAGACUGGGAUAACUUUGGGAAACCGGAGCUAAUACCGGAUAAUAUAUUGAACUGCAUGGUUCAAUAGUGUAAGACGGUUUUGUUGUCACUUAUAGAUGGAUCCGCGCCGCAUUAGCUAGCUGGUAAGGUAACGGCUUACCAAGGCAACGAUGCGUAGCCGACCUGAGAGGGUGAUCGGCCACACUGGAACUGAGACACGGUCCAGACUCCUACGGGAGGCAGCAGUAGGGAAUCUUCCGCAAUGGGCGGAAGCCUGACGGAGCAACGCCGCGUGAGUGAUGAAGGUCUUCGGAUCGUAAAACUCUGUUAUUAGGGAAGAACAAAUGUGUAAGUAACUAUGCACGUCUUGACGGUACCUAAUCAGAAGGCCACGGCUAACUACGUG